GUAACAAGGUUUCCGUAGGUGAACCUGCGGAAGGAUCAUUACCGAGUGAGGGCCCUCUGGGUCCAACCUCCCACCCGUGUCUAUCGUACCUUGUUGCUUCGGCGGGCCCGCCGUUUCGACGGCCGCCGGGGAGGCCUUGCGCCCCCGGGCCCGCGCCCGCCGAAGACCCCAACAUGAACGCUGUUCUGAAAGUAUGCAGUCUGAGUUGAUUAUCGUAAUCAGUUAAAACUUUCAACAACGGAUCUCUUGGUUCCGGCAUCGAUGAAGAACGCAGCGAAAUGCGAUAAGUAAUGUGAAUUGCAGAAUUCAGUGAAUCAUCGAGUCUUUGAACGCACAUUGCGCCCCCUGGUAUUCCGGGGGGCAUGCCUGUCCGAGCGUCAUUGCUGCCCUCAAGCACGGCUUGUGUGUUGGGCCCCCGUCCCCCUCUCCCGGGGGACGGGCCCGAAAGGCAGCGGCGGCACCGCGUCCGGUCCUCGAGCGUAUGGGGCUUUGUCACCUGCUCUGUAGGCCCGGCCGGCGCCAGCCGACACCCAACUUUAUUUUUCUAAGGUUGACCUCGGAUCAGGUAGGGAUACCCGCUGAACUUAAGCAUAUCAAUA
rnacentral:misc_RNA from 1 species